rnacentral:tRNA from 1 species
GGGGCUGUAGCUUAACGGAAAAGCGAGGUUCUUAAUAAAUGCAGGAGUGAAAAUUUGUGCAUUUAUUAAAACCCUGCAUGCGGGUUCGAAUCCCGUCAGCUCCA